CACCACUCAAGCCUGGCUUGGUAUUGGGCGACGGGGUCCUCACCCGCGCCUCCAUGUUUGUUCGGCUGGACGGUUGGAAUCUCAGCGUUGUGCAAACCCAUUCGCUGCGGGACCCGACCGGACGCGCCGGUAAACUCUCACCACA
rnacentral:misc_RNA from 1 species